rnacentral:rRNA from 1 species
CGGGGGGGGCAAGCGUUGUUCGGAAUUACUGGGCGUAAAGGGCGCGUAGGCGGUUCGCUAAGUUGGAUGUGAAAACUCUGGGCUCAACCCAGAGCCUGCAUCCAAAACUGGCGGGCUAGAGUUCUGGAGGGGGUAGCGGAAUUCCUGGUGUAGCGGCGAAAUGCGUAGAUAUCAGGAGGAACACCGGUGGCGAAGGCGGCUACCUGGACAGAAACUGACGCUGAGGCGCGAAAGCUAGGGGAGCAAGCAGGAUUAGAUACCCUGGUAGUCCUAGCCCUAAACGAUGGAUACUUGGUGUGACUGGGAUUGAAUCCAGUCGUGCCGAAGCUAACGCAUUAAGUAUCCCGCCUGGGGAGUACGGUCGCAAGGCUG